UAAUAUAGAUUUUUUUUACAUUUUAAAAAUUAAUAAAUUUAUAUAUUGUAGAGGCCCAAAUUUACCCCGGGCCCAACAAGCCCAAAUUAGACAAAAAAAAAUAAACAAAACACAAAAGCCAAUCAAAAUUACAGCCCAAAAAUUAAAACCUAUAUUAGACCCAAAACCCAAUUUACAAACCCUAACAGCCCAAACACACAACAUAAACAAAUUUUUCAGAAAGCAAACCCUAGCCUCUGACCUAGCUGCGCAGCCGCUCCUCCCAUGUCAGCCCCCGUCCCAUCGCCCGUACCACCAACUCAUUUGCCACCCCUGCAAGGAAGAAAACACGCAACAACAGAGAGCAAUGGCUAAACGACAGCAAAAUAGUGACCUAUAACAUGUAAAUCGGCUUUAAAAAGCCCGAAUAAUGAAUGUAAAAGUGGGGAUUUUUUUUCAAGAUUCAAAAAAAAAAACAGAGAAUAGAUUGAAAAUCGUGCUAAGGUCUUU
rnacentral:lncRNA from 1 species